CAGACAUGUGCUCUUCCUAUACUGGUUGUGGAUCCACUGAUGCUGUUGCGUCACAUUAGCAGGUAAAUAAAGACCCCUCAUACGUUUACAGUAUAGUAGCAUAAGCCAAGUAACUUAUUAAAAUGGACUGUUUAUACUUAUAAAAGAAAUGUUCAUCUUUAUCUUUACAUUUCGAGCAAACCUGGUCCAUUGAGCUCUCUGCCACGAUCCCUCUCUUCUA